GAUCAUCUUGGAGAGGUUGUGUUUGUUGAGUUGCCAUAACCAGGGGGUUCAGUUUCUAAAGCUGGCAGCUUUGGAGCUGUGGAAAGUUUGAAAGCAACCAGUGAUGUCAACUCUCCAAUUUCCGGCGAGAUCAUUGAGGUGAACUCGAAGCUUAGUGAAUCACUUGGUUUGAUCAAAAUCAAGCCCAAACGGAAC